rnacentral:rRNA from 1 species
UACAGAGGGGGCAAGCAGUUAUUCGGAAUUAUUGGGCGUAAAGGGCGCGUAGGCGGCAUGGCAAGUGGAAGGUGAAACUCCCUCGGCUUAACCGAGGAACUGCCCUCCAAACUGCUUUGCUUGAGGCCGGGAGAGGUGAGUGGAAUUCCCAGUGUAGCGGUGAAAUGCGUAGAUAUUGGGAGGAACACCAGUGGCGAAGGCGGCUCACUGGACCGGUUCUGACGCUGAUGCGCGAAAGCGUGGGGAGCAAACGGG